GAGGCAGUCCAGCCGCAGGGGCCACCCGAACAGUCUCUCCUCCUCACAGAAGCCUGCUUCUCACCUGGGGCGGGUGGGUUCUGCACCACCCUCCCACCCUCCUUCCUCCGUGUGGACGAUAGAGCCACAUCCAGCACCACGGACAGCUCCCGGGCGAUCCCAUGGGAGUAGAAGAGGUGUGAGCAGGUUGCCCAGCUGGUUAGCGGAAAUGCCAAGAUCCAGGCUCCUGAAUUUCAGCCUGGCCCUUUCUAUCUGUCUGAUACCUCCUUUACGAGUCUCUCUGCCUGCGUUGUGUGGAGCGGGCCUGCUGCUGGUUGGGGGAGUUUGCAGGUUGCCCCUAUGCAAAAAAGGACAGGAUGCAUGACUGGCAUCCUUCAUCUCCUCGUCCUCCAGGCAGCACAAGCCAUUGUGGAAUCUCCACCAGGUGUACAGAACGGUGCCUCUGCGUCCUGCCACUCAGGACCUCUCAAGUCCCCGAUGUGAUGGCUCCUCAGCAUGAUCAGGAGUGAGCGUAAUUCAGACCUAUUUAGAUCCGUCAGCCCACGGACCAGGGGGACCUUGAGCAGGACAGUCUUUUGUCUCCAAGCAGUCAUUCCCUGUUAUACAAGCAAGAGUCAGGAGGAGGAAUGGUUUUGGCAUCAUCCCCCACAGACAGCAAUGGGGCCUUUAGGCCUGGAAGGAAGGACCAGGCUGCGGCUGGCAUAUGGAGGUUGAGCCCUGGGCACGGGGCAUCAGCUUCACCCGGCUGGGGAUGCCUUCUGCUGGGUUUGUCCAUCUGGCACCAGCUGGCUUCCCAGCACCGCCCCCACAACCAACCAGACUCCUCCUUCUGCUGUUGCCAUGGCAAUUGGCUGCCAUAUUGUACCUCAGAGCACUAGCUCCUAUCUGGAUUUUCCCGCGGGGUUCCUAGAGGGUGGGAGAUGGGUCUCCAGGGAUUUAUCCCUUUCCCCUGAUAUCUAUCCAAUAAAAAUUCAUAAUAACAUAUGAUUU
rnacentral:lncRNA from 1 species